rnacentral:snRNA from 1 species
UGGGGCAAAAUAGAAAAACACUA